GCCUUGCAUAGGAGCUGAGGAGGCACGAGAGGGUCGGCACCCUCCAGUUCCUGGGAGGUCCCAAAUGUCCUUGGGCAACGGAGGGGGUGACAGUGGAUGUGGGGGGCUGGGAGCAGCAGGCUUUGCCUGAGCUCGGGAUUGGAGUAGCUCAGUUCCCGAUGAGAGCACAGCACAUCCAUUCCUACUGUCCUGCUUUCUUUCUAAAGGAGCUGACCAAGAAGCUAAGCAGGAUGCACUGCAGGAAGGCAGCCGUCCCACACUGCUGGUCUCGGACAUUGGAACGCAGGCAGCACCAACAACUGGCAUGCCAGGUAGGAUACCACCGUCUUUACAGUGCAAUCAAAUGAGAAUGUGACAGAGACUCUGAAAUCAGUAAAACAAAACACUGAGGCUGAAGAAACUCCACCUGGGGAAGUCAAGGUCGAGGAAACCCCUGCUGCUGCUGUUGUGGGAAAGGAGGCCAUCCCUGCUGAGCCAGAUGAGCCAACAGAGCAGGCUGCGGCACCCACUGCAUGUGCAGCUGAGUGUGGACCUGGAGGAAAGUGAUUCUGCAAAAGCCGAUGAGCUUUGUGACCCACCUCUUUGAACAAUCCCCUGCCGUGUGUUUCAGCCCAACGUGUGUGGAAGAAGUGUUCCAGAAAGUUUUCCUGCAAACUGGAGGCUGCUUGACAGGCAUUAAGGAAUCUGAGUGGCUUCGGCACAGAGAUGCAAAUGGUUAGAAAGGACUUUUCCCAGAGAACUUCACACGCCGUCUGGAACAGUUCUUCUCACAGGCACACGAAUGUGGUUUGAAGCUCAGUCAGUGGGUUCUUCACCUCCUUGAAACACAGGAGCCCCCUUUUUUUGUAGUUCAGGCUGUUAACGGUUUACAGAUUGGUGCCAGACAAAGCUUGUUGGGCAUAUCAAAAUGAGCAUGAGUGCAAGCAGUUAAGCUACCCAUUUCUGAAGCAGUGCAUGAAAAAACAAACAAACAAACACAAACAGAAAUGUCCUCAUUUGUUCACGUGCAUGUGGCAACAGGUUUGUUUGUGCUGUGCCAGAGCUGUGGUGAUCCUGUGUUUGGUCCUUUCCCAUGAAAUCCAAAAUUAGCCUCCUUGAUACCAAAACCUGAACUUCUCUGCACUAAGUGUGUUGUAUUGAGUUGCACUGCAGAAAACUUAAUUAGUAAUCCUGUAGUAAUGAGGUCAAACUACUACAAGUUUCACGUGUUUAAAAAAUAUAAUUAACUGCUGCAGAGUCAGCCCAAAUGAUGUUCAAUUAAGGCACAGAGCGUCAGAG